UAUUGGUCUUGGAUGCUAUAGGAAAGCAC
rnacentral:piRNA from 1 species